UACGUAGGGUGCAAGCGUUUGUCCGGAAUUAUUGGGCGUAAAGAGCUCGUAGGCGGUCUGUCGCGUCGGCUGUGAAAACCCGGGGCUCAACCCCGGGCCUGCAGUCGAUACGGGCAGACUAGAGUGCGGUAGGGGAGACUGGAAUUCCUGGUGUAGCGGUGAAAUGCGCAGAUAUCAGGAGGAACACCGAUGGCGAAGGCAGGUCUCCUGGGCCACUACUGACGCUGAGAAGCGAAAGCAUGGGGAGCGAACAGG
rnacentral:rRNA from 1 species